AUGAAAAGAUCAAGGGGCUGCAUCUGCGAAGUCCCAACAGGAACAGAGUUGGGUGUCUUACGGUUAUUGACAAAAGAAUCCAAAUGUGAAGCAAAUUGUGCUCGGAUGCUUCAAAGCCAGAAGGCAACGGAAAGAGACAGAACUUCUCUGCUAAGGUCAGAUGCCUGCAAGCAAUGUGAACACAGAGCCGCUUUCUUCCUCUGCCCUGGCUGCCCUGGUGCUGUUAAACCCCACAAGUGUUCGUCUCUGGGUGCACUGCAGGUUUCUUCAGCUGGCUGCCCUGCACGUCCCUUCUGUGGCUCAGGCGUGUGCUUGGUACAUGCCGAGGUUUUCUUCCCCAUCCCCUGGAAGUUUCUCCAUGCCACGGGACACAGGCAAAGAGCAAACGUGUGUGUUGUUAUUGCAAGAGACAACUGCAGUCCCAGACGGAGGGUGACUCCAGGCAGUGGUGAUCACAGCAGCUCCCUGCUGCCAUCUUAGCAGGCCGUGUACCCUUAGGAAAACACAUUUUCCCUCUUCUACAAUCAUAUCUUUGUUAUCUGGCGGGCUGUCCUAAGGUCUUAGAGGUAAGAGAGGGUACAGGGGAGUGGUGAGUUUGCUGCAAGACUGUUGAAAAGAAGGGUUGUGGUGGUUGCACUCGUGGGCAGCCGAGGUCCACCACAACCGCUCCCUCACUCCUCUUCCUCAAAGGGAAAAGGGAAGAAAAUAAAAUGAAAAAGGCUCAAGGGUUGAGAUAAGGA
rnacentral:lncRNA from 1 species